rnacentral:lncRNA from 1 species
UUUAGUAACAAAUUACAUAUGUAAUGCAAAUAUAAGUAAAAAUGCUCUAUACAACAGGCAUGGUGGUCCAUGCCAGUGACCCUUGAGGAACUACAGAAGGCGUUUUUCAAGUUCAAAGCCAGGCUCCAUAACUUACUGAGGCCCUAACCAACUUAGCAGACCAUAUCUCUAAAUAAAAAUGAUGAAAAAAAAUCUGGGGAUGCAGUUUACUGAUUAAGUGCCCCUAAGUUCAAAACUAAAAAUUAAACAUUUAAAGCUUCAUAUAAUCUUAAGACAUUUCUGAAAUAAUCAACUAUGAGAAUUAUGUUUUCUCCAAUUGUGAGAAAUGAGAAUAUUUAGUAAUUGUUGAUUUAUAGUAAAAUUAUAUCCAUUUAGGGAUGCACUAUUCUAUAUUUGUAUUUCAUUAUUUCUACAAUAUCAGCUAAAGUUGUUAAGAAAAUUUUCAGCAAAUAUCAAAAGCAAUUACCCAUUUUCUACAUUUAAAUGAUUUUUUCCCUCCUAGGUCCCAAAUACUUCAAGAGAUGGGCUAUACAUAAGACACUUACAGUUGUUGUAUUUGUCAAGGUGUUUUGUAAAUAUUUUGCUGUUAUCUAAGGUACAUACUUUGGACAAAUGCUACUCCACAUUUGCUACAGGUAUGGGAUCAGAAAUUGAAAAAAUGUCUGAAAUUUUUCCACAUGUCCUCUCACUCGUAUGAAUUCUGAGGUCCUGAGUAGGGUGUGAAUAACUGUUGGAGACUCUGACACCUAUUUUACACUUGUAUAAUUUCUGUGCUAUCAUAUCUCUGGUGUUAAAUAGUGUUGAACUACUGUGAAGUAAGGGUUGAUUCAUCCUUAAAGACACUGUUUCAAUGUUUUCACUUGUAAAAGUUCUCUCCAGAAUAAAAUCUAUAAUGUUUAGUAAGAUGUGAUCUUCAAUUUUAAAAGCUUUGCCAUUCUUCACAUUUAUAAGACUUCUCUCUAGUAUGGGUUCUCUGGUGUCAAGUAAGUGAUGAUUGUUGAUUAAAAUCUUUGCCACAUUCUCUACAUUUGUAGGGCUUCUCUCCAGUAUGAAUCCUGUUGUGGCGAUCAAGCUGUGUGUUUAUUGUAAAACUCUUGCCACACACUUAACAUUUGUAGGGCUUCUCUCCAGUAUGAAUCCUGUUGUGGCAAUCAAGAUGUGUGUUUGUAGUAGUAAAACUUUUGCCACACACUUUACAGUUGUAGGGCUUCUCUCCAGUGUGAAUUCUCUGGUGCCGAGUAAGUGAUGGUUUUUGAUGAAAACUUUUGCUACAUAUGUUACAGUUGUAGGGCUUCUCUCCAGUGUGGAGUCGCUGGUGCUGAGUAAGUGAUGAUUUUUGAUUAAAACUCUUGCCACAUUCUCUACAUUUGUAGGGCUUCUCUCCAGUAUGAAUCCUGUUGUGGCGAUGAAGAUGUGACUUUCUUUUAAAAGCUUUGUCACAUCCUUUACAGUUGUAGGGCUUUUCUCCAGUAUGAAUCCUGUUGUGGCCAUCAAGAUGUGACUUUCUUCUAAAAGCUUUGCCACAUACAUUACAGGUGUAGGGCUUCUCUCCAGUGUGGAUUCGCUGGUGCUCAGUAAAUGAUGAUUUAUGAUUAAAAAUCUUGCCACACACUUUACAUGUGUAGAGCUUCUUUCCAGUAUGAAUUCUCUGGUGAUUUUUAAGGCUUGGAUUUUUUAAGGCUUCACAAACUUGUUUACAUAUGUGGGGCAUCUCUAGAGGGUGUGUGCACUGGUGACAAAUAAGAUUGGAGCUUUUAUUAGAAGUUUUGUCACAUUCUUUGCAUUUGCAUGGCGUAUCUCCUGUAUGAACACUGUGAUGUUGAGUAAAGUUCUUGAGUAUGUUGCAUUCUUCACAUUGGUAGGUCUUCUCUGCAGAAUAAAUUUUUUGAUGUUGAGUAAGAGUUGAAAAAUUUU